CACCAUCCACCACACCCAAUGUAUUGUCUCCAGCCGAUACAUCCAUGGUCGACUAUCAUCCAAAUCACAUCCAUAUACUAUAUAUAUAUAUAUAUAUAUAUAUAUAUAUAUAAUCAAUUAUAAAUGAACAAGCAUUGUUGAACCAUCUAACACACUAGUUCCGGUUAAGCAAACAACCUAAAACUAAGCAAACAAUGACAGACUCGAUCUCACGUAGACGGAGUACAUUAGAAAUAAAUUAUACUUAUUCGAGGUCUUAAGCCGUGUAAGAGAAGCUCGGGAAAAGACCCUCACCUUAGCUAAUAUUGGAGAUGAAUCACAAAAAUGCUCCAAGAUCUCGUCCAACAAAACUCAGUCCAACUUUAGAAUUAAUUACUUGAAAUACAAGUAACACUAAAGUUGCAUGAUUGCAUCCUGCGCGCAUGUGCA
rnacentral:lncRNA from 1 species